rnacentral:rRNA from 1 species
AUUGAACGCUGGCGGCAGGCCUAACACAUGCAAGUCGAGCGAGAGGCGGACGGGUGAGUAAUGUCUGGGAAACUGCCUGAUGGAGGGGGAUAACUACUGGAAACGGUAGCUAAUACCGCAUACCAUCAGAUGUGCCCAGAUGGGAUUAGCUAGUAGGUGGGGUAACGGCUCACCUAGGCGACGAUCCCUAGCUGGUCUGAGAGGAUGACCAGCCACACGGGAACUGAGACACGGUCCGGACUCCUACGGGAGGCAGCAGUGGGGAAUAUUGCACAAUGGGCGCAAUCCGGAUGCAGCCAGGCCGCGUGUAUGAAGAAGGCCUUCGGGUUGUAAAGUACUUUCAGCGGGGAGGCGUUACCCGCAGAAGAAGCACCGGCUAACUCCGUGCCAGCAGCCGCGGUAAUUC